rnacentral:rRNA from 1 species
AAUAGAUACCCGGGUAGUCCAUGCCGUAAACGUUGGGCACUAGGUGUGGGGCUCAUUCCACGAGUUCCGUGCCGCAGCAAACGCAUUAAGUGCCCCGCCUGGGGAGUACGGCCGCAAGGCUAAAACUCAAAGGAAUUGACGGGGGCCCGCACAAGCGGCGGAGCAUGCGGAUUAAUUCGAUGCAACGCGAAGAACCUUACCAAGGCUUGACAUACACCGGAAUCAUGCAGAGAUGUGUGCGUCUUCGGACUGGUGUACAGGUGGUGCAUGGUUGUCGUCAGCUCGUGUCGUGAGAUGUUGGGUUAAGUCCCGCAACGAGCGCAACCCUCGUCCUAUGUUGCCAGCACUUCGGGUGGGGACUCAUAGGAUACUGCCGGGGUCAACUCGGAGGAAGGUGGGGAUGACGUCAAAUCAUCAUGCCCCUUAUGUCUUGGGCUUCACGCAUGCUACAAUGGCCGGUACAAAGGGCUGCGAUACCGCGAGGUGGAGCGAAUCCCAAAAAGCCGGUCUCAGUUCGGAUUGGGGUC